AACCUUUAGUGAUGGAUCACCUAGCCAGUGGGUGGAUGAAGGGCGCAGGCAGCUACGAGAAAUGUGAAUUGCAGGAGGCAUUGAUCGCCGACACCUCCAACGUGCUGAGCGUUGUUUGACCGUCAAUUGCUUCCAGAGUGUGC
rnacentral:rRNA from 1 species